rnacentral:rRNA from 1 species
UAGAUGCGAGAGUAGAGCAUAUCAAUAAGCGGAGGAAAAGGCUGCGGAACUGAACGACCGCUACCUACGCUUAGGAUGUUGACGAGACUGUCGAUCUCAUCUAUACAUGACUCUGUGCAUAUCAAUAAGCGGAGGAAAAGAAACUAACAAGGAUUCCCUAGUAACGGCGAGUGAAGCGGGAAGAGCUCAAAUUUGAAAUCUUCAAGGGUUCUACCUUGACGAAUUGUAGUUUAUAGAAGUGUUUUCGGUUAGAGGAGUGGUAAAAGUUCUUUGGAAUAGGACAUCAUAGAGGGUGAGAAUCCCGUAUUUGACCAUUACUUCCAGCGUUGUGAUACACUUUCAAAGAGUCGGAUUGUUUGGGAAUGCAGUCCAAAAUGGGUGGUAAAUUUCAUCUAAAGCUAAAUAUUGGCGAGAGACCGAUAGCGAACAAGUACCGUGAGGGAAAGAUGAAAAGAACUUUGAAAAGAGAGUUAAACAGUACGUGAAAUUGUCAAAAGGGAAGCGUUUGACACCAGUGUUGUUUUUCCGAAAAUCAAUUACGAAUGUUUUAUUUUUGAGGAGUUAUGACUUCAUCGGCUUGCUCCUUUCUUUAUGAAACUUUCUUAAUGCACUUUUCGGUUAACAAGUCAACAUCAAUUUCUUUUGUUGUAAAAGGGUAUGAGGAAGGUGGCUUUCUUUUCGGAGAAAGUGUUUAUAGCCUUGUGCCUCUGCAAUCGGAGAGAUUGAGGUCUGCAGCGUAGAUCCUUCGGGGUUAGAUACAUUUGUGCUAAGUUAUAGCUUUUCAUAGACAACUUGUUGACUAUGUUUAGUCUUGUAGCUUACUCGCUUACGCUAUUUUACCUACGCUUAGGAUGUUGACGAGACUGUCGAUCUC